GACGAACGCUGGCGGCGUGCCUAAUACAUGCAAGUAGAACGCUGAAGGAGGAGCUUGCUUCUCCGGAUGAGUUGCGAACGGGUGAGUAACGCGUAGGUAACCUGCCUGGUAGCGGGGGAUAACUAUUGGAAACGAUAGCUAAUACCGCAUAAGAGUAGAUGUUGCAUGACAUUUGCUUAAAAGGUGCAAUUGCAUCACCACCAGAUGGACCUGCGUUGUAUUAGCUAGUUGGUGAGGUAACGGCUCACCAAGGCGACGAUACAUAGCCGACCUGAGAGGGUGAUCGGCCACACUGGGACUGAGACACGGCCCAGACUCCUACGGGAGGCAGCAGUAGGGAAUCUUCGGCAAUGGACGGAAGUCUGACCGAGCAACGCCGCGUGAGUGAAGAAGGUUUUCGGAUCGUAAAGCUCUGUUGUAAGAGAAGAACGAGUGUGAGAGUGGAAAGUUCACACUGUGACGGUAUCUUACCAGAAAGGGACGGCUAACUACGUG
rnacentral:rRNA from 1 species